rnacentral:rRNA from 1 species
GAGGGGCAGCAUACUUAGCUUGCUAAGUUGAUGGCGACCGGCGCACGGGUGAGUAACACGUAUCCACCUGCCGAUGACUCGGGGAUAGCCUUUCGAAAGAAAGAUUAAUACCCGAUGGCUCCGCAUGGUUAAAGAAUUUCGGUCAUCGAUGGGGAUGCGUUCCAUUAGGUUGUUGGCGGGGUAACGGCCCACCAAGCCUUCGAUGGAUAGGGGUUCUGAGAGGAAGGUCCCCCACAUUGGAACUGAGACACGGUCCAAACUCUACGGGAGGCAGCAGUGAGGAAUAUUGGUCAAUGGACGAGAGUCUGAACCAGCCAAGUAGCGUGAAGGAUGACUGCCUAUGGGUUGUAAACUUCUUUUAUACGGGAAUAAGUGAGGCACGUGUGCCUUUUUGUAUGUACCGUAUGAAUAAGGAUCGGCUAACUCCGUGCCAGCAGCCGCGGUAAUACGGAGGAUCCGAGCGUUAUCCGGAUUUAUUGGGUUUAAAGGGAGCGUAGGCGGACGCUUAAGUCAGUUGUGAAAGUUUGCGGCUCAACCGUAAAAUUGCAGUUGAUACUGGGUGUCUUGAGUACAGUAGAGGCAGGCGGAAUUCGUGGUGUAGCGGUGAAAUGCUUAGAUAUCACGAAGAACUCCGAUUGCGAAGGCAGCCUGCUAAGCUGCAACUGACAUUGAGGCU